rnacentral:lncRNA from 10 species
CUCUAGGACCACUCACAGUGGGGAGAAUCCAGCAGCCAUGUUGUGAGGAUGCUCAAGCAGCCCAAUGGAGAAUUCCAAUUGUGAGGACUUUCAAGCACCCUAUAAAGAAGUCCAUGUGUUGAGAAACUGUAGCCUCCUGCAAAAGAUCAGCACUGGCUUGCCAGGCUUACAAACAAGCUUCUCUGGGUCAAGAAAUACACCAACCAUAGGCUUAACCCAAUGCUUAGACUUGGAUUUGGAAGUUAAGUUACCUGGGAAUAGUCUCAGAUUGGGUUUUAAAGGGUUGAAUGGCUGAUCACAGAAAACAGGUUGAACUGAAAAGCAAGGGUGGAGAUCACAUAGCAAAGGCAUUUGAGGAACAAGAAAGAUGCUUGGUAAAGAGAGUGCUCAGGGUGGAGACAGCACUGUGUCCUCAGCCUGGUGAAUAGUUAAAACAUGGGUCUCUGGAUUAUACAACCCGGGGGGCAAUGAUCUGAACAAGGGCCACAAACUGCAUAUGAAUGCCAAAUACCAAAAUUGCUGCAUGGACAGGGCAGGCAAAGAGCUUAGUCUGAGAAAUACUCUGGUAAUGUAUAAUUGGGGCCUGAGUAGAAGGGAGAUACUGUUACAGUACGUAGUUAAGCGGACAUAAGCAGGGCAGGAGAGGGCCCCCCUCCCACCAGGGAGGCAAUUCACAGCAGGACUAUUUAUAAUAGCACAAAACUGGGAAUAAUCGAAAUACUCAUGAAGAAAUGACAAGCUAAAUAAAAUUAUGGUACAUUCAACACAAUAGCAUUUAUUGCUGCUGUGACUUAAUCUCCAGGCUAUAUUAAGUAAAAACAGCAAGAUGGGGUAAGUAUGUAUAGCAUGCUACAUUUAUCUAAACAAAGGAGAAAGUGGCAGACAGCCCCUUCUCCGCUGUGCUGUUUGAGACAAAGUUUCACUGUCACCUCCAUUGAGUGCAGUGGUGCGAUCAUGGCUCACUGCACCCUCGACCACCCAGGCUCAGAUGAUCCUCCCACCUCAGCCUCCUGGGUAGCUGGGACCACAGGCACACACCAUCUUGCCUGGCUAAUUUUUGUAUUUUUUUGUAGAGACAGGGUUUUGCCAUGUUGCCCAGGCUGGUCUUAAACUCCUGGGCUCAAGCAAUCAGCUCGCCUUGGUGUCCCAACGUGUUGGCAUGAGCCACCGCACUGGUGUGCACCACUGCACCCAGGCUACUAAAGGUUCUUAUUUUCUGAUUCUCUCUUGACAGAGCAGAAGCAUGGCCAUCUUGCACAAGCACCACCAUUGUAAAGUUCCCCUUGAUCAAAAACCACCUAAAUGCAAAGGGCAUCAGCCUAAUGGCUAAGGUCAGCAUGACUAUACUUCCCGGUUCAUGGCACAUUAUCAUUAUUUUCUUUCUUUAUUCCUUUUCAUCUCCAUAGCCCACUCCCAUGCUCUGGAUCCCACGCAGGCAGCCAUUCUAACGUGUUUAAGGAGUAUCUUUAUGUAAGAUGUACUUUAUGUAAGUACUCUUACAAAAUGUGCACUGUGCUGGGCUAAUGAAUUUUAAACUCACAUAAAGGAUUUAAUGUUUAUGUACUUCACACUCUUAUCUUUUCACCAAGCACUAUAUUCUUAAAAUCUAUUUGAAUUCCUUAUGUUUAUCUAAUCCUUUGCUUCUACAGCUACAGACAACUCCAUGACGUGCACCCGCCAUUUUUCCUCUCCCCCAAGCAAUGCUCACUCAGUUACCUCCCAUUCCCCUCCACCACUAAUAACAGAAGUAAACAACCUUGGACAUGUCCUCUUGGGGACCUCUGGUACACAUUCCUGUGUCCACCUGUAGGAACGGAAUUGCUGGGUCACAGAGUAGAUAACUAGUCAAUUUGCUUAAGUAAUGCCAGAUUGCUUCCCAGAACAGCAGCCCCCAUCUGUGCUUCCACCAGCACACGCAAGGCUUCCUAUUUAUUCCCUCCUUCCCUCAUUUGGCUUUGCUAUUAUACUUCUUAGCUCCCUAAGAAUUUGCUGUAAAUGGGUACUUCCUAUUUGAGAGUGAUAGAAAUUUUCUAAAAUUAGUUUGUGGUGGUGGUUGUACAACUCUGUAAAUAAACAAAAUUCACUGAAUUGAGCGCUUUAGAUGGGUGAAUUCUAUGGUAUAUAAAUUAUAUCACAAUAAAGCUGUUUUUAAAAACUUGUUUUCCUUCUGUAACUAUAUUUUCUUUUACAAGCUUGUAAAGUCUUAUUUAACAUCAACGUCUUUUUUCAAUCAAUAUUCACAUUUCAUCAAUAGUUACAAUUGCAUUUAAAAAAUUCUCAGAUUAAGUAAAUACCAAAGGAACAAUUUCCCCAAUGGAUUUUCCUCUACCCUACCAUUCUGAUCUAAAAUCUUUCAUUCCCUAGAGAUGUGAGGUAAGACAUGAAUAUUUUCUUACAGAGUUAAGUACAUACUAACCUUAGAUCCUACAAUUUCAGUCUUAAGCACUUACAUACCCCCGCCCCAAGCAAAAGAAAGGGAAAGGAUUUUUGUACAAAUAUAUUCUUGGCAUCUUUAUUUGUCACAGUCAAAAGUUGAAAACAACUCAAAUGUCUGGUGAAUGGACAAACUGUGGCAUGUUAAUGCAAUGAAAUACUACUUAGCAAUAAAAAGGAAUAAUCUACUAAUACCUAAAACAACAUGGAUUAAUAUCAAAAACAUUAUGCUCAGAGAAAGAAGCUAGACACAAAAAUGUAUACAUAGGCAAAACUCAUCUAUA